GAAUGUAUCUCUGUGGUGUAAGUGGUAGCACGCGUCUCCGGUAUGGACGAAGCGCGGGUUCAACUCCUGUCUAAGUUCA